rnacentral:snoRNA from 1 species
AACCCAUGGUGAGAGCACCUUUUCAGAAGGUAUUUGUAUCUCUCCUAUGCAUCGUAGAGGGUUUCUAAAUCCAUCUGCACAAAAAAAGAGAUUUCAUUACGUAAUUU